rnacentral:rRNA from 1 species
GGGAGGCAGCAGUGGGGAAUAUUGCACAAUGGGCGCAAGCCUGAUGCAGCCAUGCCGCGUGUGUGAAGAAGGCCUUCGGGUUGUAAAGCACUUUCAGCGGGGAGGAAGGCGUUAAGGUUAAUAACCUCAUCGAUUGACGUUACCCGCAGAAGAAGCACCGGCUAACUCCGUGCCAGCAGCCGCGGUAAUACGGAGGGUGCAAGCGUUAAUCGGAAUUACUGGGCGUAACGCGCACGCAGGC